GACGAACGCUGGCGGCGUGCCUAACACAUGCAAGUCGAGCGGGGUUGAAGCGAGAGGUAACUCGAGUUUCUACCUAGCGGCGGACGGGUGAGUAACGCGUGGGCAACCUGCCUCAAGGUCUGGGAUAACAGCCCGAAAGGGCUGCUAAUACCGGGUAUGCUUGUGGCCCCGCAUGGGGCUAUGAGCAAAGGGGAAACCCGCCUUGAGAUGGGCCCGCGUCCCAUCAGCUAGUUGGUGAGGUAACAGCUCACCAAGGCGACGACGGGUAGCCGGCCUGAGAGGGUGACCGGCCACACUGGGACUGAGACACGGCCCAGACUCCUACGGGGGCAGCAGUGGGGGAUCUUGCACAAUGGGCGAAAGCCUGAUGCAGCGACGCCGCGUGAGCGAAGAAGGCCUUCGGUUGUAAAGCUCUGUCUGGAGGACGAAGGAAGUGACGGUACCUCCGGAGGAAGCCACGGCUAACUACGUG
rnacentral:rRNA from 1 species